GAGUUUGAUCCUGGCUCAGGAUGAACGCUAGCGGCAGGCCUAAUACAUGCAAGUCGAACGGUAAAUACUUUAGCAAUAGAAUAUGAGAGUGACGUACGGGUGCGUAACACGUAUGCAACCUACCCUUUACAGGCGGAUAGCUCGGGGAAACUCGAAUUAACCCGCCAUGAGAUCAUAGAGUGGCAUCACUUAGUGAUUAAAUUCCAAGAGGUAAAGGAUGGGCAUGCGUCUGAUUAGUUAGUUGGCGGGGUAACGGCCCACCAAGACGAUGAUCAGUAGGGGAACUGAGAGGUUGAUCCCCCACACUGGCACUGAGAUACGGGGCCAGACUCCUACGGGAGGCAGCAGUAGGGAAUAUUGGUCAAUGGAUGGAAGUCUGAGCCAGCCAUGCCGCGUGCAGGAAGAAGGCCUUCUGGGUUGUAAACUGCUUUUGCCAGGGGCUAAAAAGCUCAUGCGUGAGAAAUUGAAAGUACCUGGUGAAUAAGCCACGGCUAACUACGUGCCAGCC
rnacentral:rRNA from 1 species